CAAUAGCGUAUAUUAAAGUUGUUGCGGUUAAAAAGCUCGUAGUUGGAUUUCUGCUGAGAACGACCGGUCCGCCCUUUGGGUGUGUAUCUGGCUCUUUCUUGGCAUCUUCUUGGUGAACGUUGCUGCACUUGACUGUGUGGAGCGCUACCCAGGACUUUUACUUUGAGGAAAUUAGAGUGUUUCAAGCAGGCAUACGCCUUGAAUACAUUAGCAUGGAAUAAUAAGAUAGGACCUCGGUUCUAUUUUGUUGGCUUCUAGAGCUGAGGUAAUGAUUAAUAGGGAUAGUUGGGGGCAUUCGUAUUUAACUGUCAGAGGUGAAAUUCUUGGACUUGUUAAAGACGGACUACUGCGAAAGCAUUUGCCAAGGAUGUUUUCAUUGA
rnacentral:rRNA from 1 species